rnacentral:rRNA from 1 species
GAUGAACGCUGGCGGCGUGCUUAACACAUGCAAGUCGAACGGAAAGGCCCAAGCUUGCUUGGGUACUCGAGUGGCGAACGGGUGAGUAACACGUGGGUGAUCUGCCCUGCACUUCGGGAUAAGCCUGGGAAACUGGGUCUAAUACCGGAUAGGACGAUGGUUUGGAUGCCAUUGUGGAAAGUUUUUUCGGUGUGGGAUGAGCUCGCGGCCUAUCAGCUCGUUGGUGGGGUAAUGGCCUACCAAGGCGUCGACGGGUAGCCGGCCUGAGAGGGUGUACGGCCACAUUGGGACUGAGAUACGGCCCAGACUCCUACGGGGGGCAGCAGUGGGGAAUAUUGCACAAUGGGCGCAAGCCUGAUGCAGCGACGCCGCGUGGGGGGUGACGGCCUUCGGGUUGUAAACUCCUUUCGCUAGGGACGAAGCGUUUUUGUGACGGUACCUGGAGAAGAAGCACCGGCUAACUACGUG